ensembl:lncRNA
UGACUAAUUAUACAAAACUUAACCACUAUUUUUUUUUCAGAUGGCCGAAACAAGUGGCUACACGACGGGGGGGAUGUCGCAGGACUCCACCCUCAUCCUGUCCAGAACUGAGGAGGCCCCCGCUCUCCAGCUGGCUCCCCAGCUGGCUCCGCAGCCCCCUCCUCAGCCUGCUCCCCCUCAACUACCCCCGGCUGAGGAGGGGGACGAGGAGGGAUAUUUGGGAGAUGAUGAGGGGGAUGAUUGAAUUAUUUUUUUAUGUUUGUUUUUGUAUAUAGUUGUGUG